UGGGGAAUUUUGGACAAUGGGCGAAAGCCUGAUCCAGCAAUGCCGCGUGUGUGAAGAAGGCCUUCGGGUUGUAAAGCACUUUUGUCCGGAAAGAAAUGGCUCUGGUUAAUACCUGGGGUCGAUGACGGUACCGGAAGAAUAAGGACCGGCUAACUACGUGCCAGCAGCCGCGGUAAUACGUAGGGUCCAAGCGUUAAUCGGAAUUACUGGGCGUAAAGCGUGCGCAGGCGGUUGUGCAAGAACGAUGUGAAAUCCCCGAGCUUAACUUGGGAAGUGCAUUGGUGACUGGACGGCUAGAGUGUGUCAGAGGGGGGUAGAAUUCCACGUGUAGCAGUGAAAUGCGUAGAGAUGUGGAGGAAUACCGAUGGCGAAGGCAGCCCCCUGGGAUAACACUGACGCUCAUGCACGAAAGCGUGGGGAGCAAACAGG
rnacentral:rRNA from 1 species